rnacentral:piRNA from 1 species
UGACAGAGAGCUCUGGAUAGCGGUGCUUGU